rnacentral:rRNA from 1 species
AAGGGCGUAUGGUGGAUGCCUAGGCUCACAGAGGCGAUGAAGGACGUGAUAAGCUGCGAUAAGCUUCGGGUAGGUGCAAAUAACCUUUGAUCCGAAGAUUUCCGAAUGGGACAACCCGGCCGUCUGAAGGACGGUCACUCACGCUAAGCGUGA